UACGAUCGCACCACGUUGAAAUACCGGUUCCUGUACGAUCAGCGAAGUUAAGCGACGUCGAUCCUGAUCAUUAUCUAGAUGUGUAACCACUUGGAAAUACUAGGUGCUGAAAG